GUUGACUAUUCUCUCAUGCUUUGGAACAUCUGCUGAUGAUUUAAAAAAAAAAAAAAAGAAAAUCUGUUGACUGUGGCUGGUAGGAAGUAAAUACAGGUUGUUUUUUGUGUCACUGAUGUUGUAUCUUUGGAGGAUUAUAUAUGCCAGUUGCUUGACUUCAAGGAAAAUUUUUGCAGCGAGAUGAUGACACAGACGUAGUAUUGAGCUAAUAUAUAUGUAUAUCAAGAGCAUUGUAGAAAAUGGCAAUUACUACAGAAGUAUUUGCUUUCCAUUGGACUAAAGCUUAUGAGGAAUCCUUUAAAAGAAACUCUUCUGCUAUAUCUAAAUGCAGAGGAGUUCUUCGUGUCGUGUCAGAUGAGGGCAUAUUGACUGACCAUCUAAUUACACUGUCAUUAAUACUGACAGGGAACCAAAGGAAAAGAGGUACCAAGCUAUUCAAGCUAUUGCAGAGACACCUUGCUGCCUGGGGAAGUCAGCUGCUGGUGAACCUGUGUGCAUGGGUGAUUUACACUGCCAGAAUUAGUGUAGAAAUGACAUGAUGAGUAGCUGCUUUUCAGUAGGCUGCCCAUAUCAGGAAAUGGAAGAGCAAGAAGUUCAGGGGCAAGAGGCUCAUUUUAGGCUGGAAGCUGGUAACAAAAUAUGGCUUUGGUGUGUAUCUUUCUUUUACAUUUGUAUGAAAUCUGGCUAAUUUUUCAUUCCUGCUACAAUUUGGUAAAAAUCCAUUUAGGACUCACUUUUCCCAACUAAAACUGAAGGUAAGUCUGACCUCCUUACAGUGAAUAUUUUGAAUAUUGAUUGAUUAGGCUGUUUAAUGAAAGAAAGCAUGUGAUUUAUUUAAAAAAAACAGAGUACAAAACCAGAUAAUGUAAGACAAUAGUUAAUGAUUUAAUCUGCUUCAGUUCUAAAACCUGAUAUACCGAAAUGAAACACAACACUUAUUUAUGUUAAGGUGUCUUGCUUUACUUUCUCUUUUUUAGUAUUGCUUACCCUUUAUAUGUACCUAGGAACAAUAAUCUCAAUAAACAAGCAAUUGCAAUGAAAGCA
rnacentral:lncRNA from 1 species